GAUGAACGCUGGCGGCGUGCCUAAUACAUGCAAGUCGAGCGAACAGAUGAGGAGCUUGCUCCUCUGACGUUAGCGGCGGACGGGUGAGUAACACGUGGAUAACCUACCUAUAAGACUGGGAUAACUUCGGGAAACCGGAGCUAAUACCGGAUAAUAUAUUUAACCGCAUGGUUCAAUAGUGAAAGACGGUUUUGCUGUCACUUAUAGAUGGAUCCGCGCCGCAUUAGCUAGUUGGUAAGGUAACGGCUUACCAAGGCAACGAUGCGUAGCCGACCUGAGAGGGUGAUCGGCCACACUGGAACUGAGACACGGUCCAGACUCCUACGGGAGGCAGCAGUAGGGAAUCUUCCGAAAUGGGCGAAAGCCUGACGGAGCAACGCCGCGUGAGUGAUGAAGGUCUUCGGAUCGUAAAACUCUGUUAUUAGGGAAGAACAAAUGUGUAAGUAACUAUGCACGUCUUGACGGUACCUAAUCAGAAAGCCACGGCUAACUACGUG
rnacentral:rRNA from 1 species